UGGUUAUUGUAGCUAAGAUGCAUUUACAAUUAUACAUUAUAAUGCAUUUUGUCGAAAUGAUUGCGCUUUAGCGUACUGGUAAGAUCAACUCACUAAGUGAUGAGUGUGAAGGGAAGGUGUCAGCAUUUAUAGUCUACUACCCUACUUGUAAGGCGCAGUUCUCGUUAAGCAGGCCACGUAUAGCCACCGGGUGGCGCCAAACACCUUAUUUCGUGUAAUAACCUACCUUUUACGCACAUUAUUCAGCAUGUGUUACAUCUAACCAUUUACAAUGUUUCACAACAUACUUUAUAGCUAGCUAUAUUGUCUCCUAAUCCGUCUGAAUCAUUUCCCAACCAAGAUAGGCUAGCGCCUAGGCAGGCUUAGUUUGGCUUUGUAAAAGUUUACGGUCAGGCCUAUGGUUUUUAACCCCACCCGCCACUGUAUUUUAUGUGCUGUCUGGUGAGUAACAAAAGGAGAAACGAACAGACCGUUUACAUCAGUUUCGAAAUCAGCCGGACAGCAAAACAAACACCUGUCUUCAGCGACCUUGUUAAAGCCACUUCCUCCUCACCCACAUCCUUAGCAGGCAGCUAUAACCAGUAGGCUGCAUGUAAGCUAGGAGUGCAAGGAGGAAGUGGCUGUGCAGCUGUAAGUCCUAUUGCUGCCUCCCAUCAUCCCAUGUAUUCUGCAACGUGCAUUUUAAUAUCGUUGCAUGAGAUAGUUCCUGAAAUAAAUGGGGCACCAAUAUUGAUUGCUUAUAGAAGCCAAACCGGUCUAGACUGAUGACACUAUCGCAUGAGGAUUCUGUAUGCCCCUGAGCCCUUGGACGCUGCCAUUCCAUCGUUGGAGGAGAGGGGGUCCCUUCCCCGGGUCAGGGGUAUUGAGGAGGGUCGUGACCUGCUGACCUGUGGGCAGUGCAGCCAGGCCUUCCCUCUCGCCCACAUCCUGGCCUUCAUCCAGCACAAACAAGGGGGCUGCCGCUCCCGGAAUCACGCCCCCAACACCCACACCCCUCCCUCUCCAGCCAACCGGACACAGCAACGCGGUGAUGUCACUCAGGUAGAGGCUGGGUUCGUGGA
rnacentral:lncRNA from 13 species